UGUUGUAGUGCCCAUGAUUUUGGCAAAAUGAUGUAUAAAAUUCAGUUAAACAACCAAAGUAAAUACGCCAAAAUUGAUGAAACAUCAGAUAAUGUGACAUACUCUGAAAUAGUCGAGUUAGGAGAUAUUUUAUAAGGAUAGCUUACGAAACCCCAAGUGGCUACCUGGCAUGGAGGCUCCGAACCGUUGCAAGAUCCAAUAUGGUGCCAAGCUCCAAACGAAAGUUACCACCACAAGUUACAUAUAAUAGUGAUGACUCAUCAGAUGAACCAACCUUAAAAAAAGCCAGAACAUUGACAGAACAAAAAGUAGCAGAUAUAGAAUUUUUUAAAAAUGCUUGCUGCAAGACACAGAAAAAGGAAAUCAUGGAAAAACUGCAAAACUUUUUUAACUGAAGAAAAAUGAAUGACUUUUCAUUUGUCGAUUAUCCCAGAUUUUUGGACACGCCAGGACUUAUUGAACAAGAUGUCAGCUUGCUAUAUCCUGCUAAUGCCAAUAACUUUGUGGCGAAGUUUGAAAAUAAGGCUGCAAAUAUCAUACAAAUAUACGAGGCGACGAUAUACCUAGGCGAUUUCCUACCUCAAAUAAGGUAUAUAUUAUAUUUUUUAUUUUGCGUUUACCUAUAAAUAUUUCCCUAGAGUAAGGAAUAUUUUUUGUUUCGUUGUCACCUAACGUAACUAUACCUGCCUAAAAUAAGGUAUAUAUAUAUAUAUAUUUUUUUUUAUUUUCCUAGAGUAGGGAAUAUUUUUUGUUUCGUUGUUACCUAUAUCUACCUCAAAUAAGGUAUAUU